rnacentral:rRNA from 1 species
UACAGAGGUCCCCAAGCGUUGUUCGGAUUUACUGGGCGUAAAGGGUGCGUAGGUGGUGAGGUAAGUUUGAUGUGAAAUCUCCGGGCCUAACCCGGAAACUGCAUCGAAUACUAUCUUGCUAGAGGAUUGGAGGGGAGACUGGAAUACUUGGUGUAGCAGUGAAAUGCGUGGAUAUCAAGUAGAACACCAGUGGCGAAGGCGAGUCUCUGGACAACUCCUGACACUGAGGCACGAAAGCUAGGGGAGCAAACAGGAUUAGAAACCCUGGUAGU